rnacentral:rRNA from 1 species
UACGAAGGGGGCUAGCGUUGUUCGGAAUUACUGGGCGUAAAGCGCACGUAGGCGGAUCGAUCAGUCAGGGGUGAAAUCCCAGAGCUCAACUCUGGAACUGCCUUUGAUACUGUCGAUCUGGAGUAUGGAAGAGGUGAGUGGAAUUCCGAGUGUAGAGGUGAAAUUCGUAGAUAUUCGGAGGAACACCAGUGGCGAAGGCGGCUCGCUGGUCCAUUACUGACGCUGAGGUGCGAAAGCGUGGGGAGCAAACGGG